GGAUGCGAUCAUACCAGCACUAAACACCGGA
rnacentral:rRNA from 1 species